rnacentral:rRNA from 1 species
CGACUCUCGACAACGGAUAUCCCGGCUCUCGCAUCGAUGAAGAACGUAGCGAAAUGCGAUACUUGGUGUGAAUUGCAGAAUCCCGUGAACCAUCGAGUCUUUGAACGCAAGUUGCGCCCGAAGCCAUUAGGCCGAGGGCACGUCUGCCUGGGAGUCACGC